rfam:Salpingoeca sp. ATCC 50818 unplaced genomic scaffold supercont1.52, whole genome shotgun sequence.
GGGGCAUUGGCGCAGUUGGUUAGCGCGCAGGUCUCAUAAUCCGCUAAUGAUAUGAUCCUCGCUUGAGGAGCAAUCCUGAGGUCGCCAGUUCGAUCCUGGCAUGCCCCA